CCCUUUUGUAGAAGCUAAUGUCGCUGUAAAUACUAAAUUAAAACAAUAGGUGCCGUUUUUGUGUGGAAAUUUACAAAUUUUUUUUAAAAAUUAGGUCACAAACAUAAAUUUCGGUAUGAUACGACGGAAAAUUUUCCUCAGGAGAAAUUUCUCCCCCCCCCCCCGUCGACAACAUUUCCGGGAAAAAUUUUUUAGGUGCCCUUUCCGAUAGUAAUGUGCCCCUACAAGCCGGUGCCCC